rnacentral:rRNA from 1 species
GAUUGACCUCGGAUCAGGUAGGGAUACCCGCUGAACUUAAGCAUAUCAAUAAGCGGAGGAAAAGAAACCAACAGGGAUUGCCUCAGUAACGGCGAGUGAAGCGGCAACAGCUCAAAUUUGAAAUCUGGGCCUCUUGGGCCCCGAGUUGUAAUUUGUAGAGGAUGUUUCGGGUGAGGUACCGUUCUAAGUUCCUUGGAACAGGGCGUCAUAGAGGGUGAGAAUCCCGUACGUGACCGGUGACCGAUCCCAUGUGAAACUCCUUCGACGAGUCGAGUUGUUUGGGAAUGCAGCUCAAAAUGGGUGGUAAAUUUCAUCUAAAGCUAAAUACUGGCCAGAGACCGAUAGCGCACAAGUAGAGUGAUCGAAAGAUGAAAAGCACUUUGGAAAGAGAGUUAAACAGUACGUGAAAUUGUUGAAAGGGAAGCGCUUGCAGCCAGACUCGCCCGGGGGUAAUCAACCGUUCUUCGGAUCGGUGCACUUCCCCCCGGUCGGGCCAGCAUCGGUUCGGGCGGUCAGAUAAAGGUUCUGGGAAUGUAGCUCCUCUCGGGGAGUGUUAUAGCCCAGGACGUAAUGUGGCCAGCCUGGACCGAGGACCGCGCUUUUGCUAGGAUGCUGGCGUAAU